UAACACCGGCAGCUCUAGUGGUAGCCAUUUUUAUUGGGCCUAAAGCGUUCGUAGCCGGUUUGAUAAGUCUCUGGUGAAAUCCUAUAGCUUAACUGUGGGACUUGCUGGAGAUACUAUUAGACUUGAGGUCGGGAGAGGUUAGCGGUACUCCCAGGGUAGGGGUGAAAUCCUGUAAUCCUGGGAGGACCACCUGUGGCGAAGGCGGCUAACUGGAACGAACCUGACGGUGAGGGACGAAAGCCAGGGGCGCGAACCGGAUUAGAUACCCGGGUAGUCCUGGCCGUAAACGAUGUGGACUUGGUGUUGGAAUGGCUUCGAGCUGCUCCAGUGCCGAAGGGAAGCUGUUAAGUCCACCGCCUGGGAAGUACGGUCGCAAGACUGAAACUUAAAUGAAUUGACGG
rnacentral:rRNA from 1 species